UUAUGUUAUUUGGUCGUCCUGUUUUGUUGGUCCACUGAAUACUCUCCUUGAAAAAAGGUUAACUUUAUUCGGUAAGUUUGAGCUGGAAGAGUGGAGGGGGCCAGCCACGCGUCACCAACCAAGUAAAAGGUAAGUGGUCCAAUCAAUCCGAACUGUUACAGCCACGCGCCCACGCGCCUCAAUUGUUUCGGUACGAGGAGAUUUUACUUAUUUUGGCUAAUCUCGUCAAACCACGUGUACCCAUUCUCGAACAUUUCUGGUUUAAAAAAUAAUAAUAAAUAAAUAGAAACCCGUUUCCAUUUCAGUUGGAAAAUGAUGCUCCGCCAAAACCAAAGCCCACGUGUCCCUCCUUUUUCCCGAGUGCUUCACACCCUCCACACCUCAUUGGCCAGAACGUGGGGCCCCCAAUCACAGAACUCAAUUUAGGGUGGGACCCUCUCAUAAAACGAAUCAGCGAAUGGCGUGCGAGCACUGUUGGAGAGAGGGGGUGCCCUAGACAGGUGGUGCUUCCUCUUCCAGCCACCACGCUGGCCUUCUAUGAUUUUCGCUUCAGCUACCGGAAACUAGAGAGAGAGAGAGAUAGAGAGAGAGAGAGAGAGGGAGUGCAAGAGCCAGAGAUCAGGUAGCUAGAUCCUCUAAAGAGAGUGAUGGACGGCGGAGAUGGAUGGCACGCGGCAGCUGGCGGUGGAGGUGGAAAAGAAAAAACGGUUAUUAACCGGAUAAUGCUCAGAUACCGUCCAAUCGCACCCAGACCGAUCCUCGGAGCAUCCUGUUCAGGUGAGAUUGUCCCGGAGGGGAAGAACAAAAGCUUGUAUUCUCCGAGUAAGAGAGUUAAGAGGAAGUACAUUCGGACCAAGAAAGGUAGCAGAUCUUCAACUGGAGAUCCACAAGGCGGUGUCAUGGACUCGACCACCAUCACGCUUCAGCUGUUGCCCGGAGAAAGACGCUCCGGAGAUACUUCAGGUAGUAGAUCUUGGUUGAGUAUUGACCAGGCGGUUGAGAAAUACCCGCAUAGUCAGGACCACCUAUGGGUGAACACGCGAACUUUGAAUAGCUGGCCGGAGAUAACUGAUGCGGUGGCUGGAUCUGACCGGAGGUUGGUGGCAGCGGCUCCGGUGGUGGCUGUGGAGUCGUGGGUGACGGUGGAAAGCGUGACAGACACGUGCAUGGAUGUUCGAGGCUUAGGUUGUACGGACAGGGAGAAAGCGGGGAGUUUGGAGAAGGACACGUGUCCGGGGUUUAUAUCAGACGGUUUUAACAGAGUUCAGUGGGUGAACGAGGCUUAUAAGGACAUGGUGAGGCAAGGGGGGAAUUACUACUGUGACGGGCAGUCACCGGAGGUGAGGGUUUGGCUGGUCACGAAGGCGGAGUUGCCGGCAAAUGGGCACUCGGCGUUCAGUUGUAGGGUGAGGCUGCAGUACAUGUGUCAGAAGGAGAAGUGUUCGAAAAUGGUGCCCUGUGAUGUGUGGAGGAUGCAGGAGGGUGCUGGGUUGGCUUGGAGGCUGGACAUGAAGGCUGCGCUCAGUUUGGGUCUUUAAAAUUAAAGACCAGCUGGUGCUUGCUAUUAUCAGGUAUAAUAUAUACAUAUUAUUCUUGUUUCUACAAUCUAAGCUUUGAUCGAUCAGUGGUAAACAAAACCAAACACGGAGAAGAAAGGUCAAUCAAGCAAAAGGUAUAGUGGUAUAUAUAGGGAGUAGAUAUAAGUAUUUAAGAUUGAACCAGAAGUGUACGUUAUAUAUCAGCAGUAAGAGAGCUGGUGACCUUUAUUGGCUUUUCUUAUGGGAUUUGGGAGUAAUUUUGAAACGAUAGUAGUAAACCCAGAAAAGAACAGCAUCAUUCCAGCUAUCUAGCACUAGCUAAACCACAAAAGGUUGAUAAUGUAUGAGAACCAAAACACAAAUACCGGUGCCCAUUUAGCUACCUAUAGCCUUUUUUUUUUUUUUUUAAUAUCUUUUCGGUGAAAGAUCAUCCCUAUAUCCGUGCAUUUUUAUAUAUUAUGGUGAGACAUUGUCCCUAGAACUUGUAUAUGGGUAUAAAUUUUGAAAAGUCCAGAAGGGCAUCGAGUACGAUGUUGUUUAGAUAAAUAUCUUAACUUUUCAUAUAGAUUAGUAAACAUUCAGUUCAGUGAUAUUUCUCUUUCAGUUUAUGAUAGAAAUUUCUAGUUUGUUUAUCUUUCUUUAAUAAGAAAAUGUUGUUAAUUUUUUUAAAAAAGAUACUCAGUUUGUUGAAAACAACGAAAUGUAUAAAACAACGAAAUGUACGUAUUUUAUUUUAUUAAGAUUAAUUUAAAACAGAAUGAGCAAUACACCUCUUUAAAUUCGCAUUGCAUCAGUUUGUCGGACAAAAUGUCAUUAUCUUCCAAUAUGAUUUUGAGUAUGCCUAAACUUCUAGAAUAACAGAGGAUAACAUCAAGCAAAGCUUUUAUUCAUUCUAGUAUAUAACCACUCAUUUUGCUAAUGUUUGUUUACACCAAUUACUAAUUCGAAAGGAUUUGUUUACACCAAUUACUAAUUCGAAAGGAUUUGAAAUAUCUUUGGAAGUGGAAAGUUCCUAUACCUGUAACAUGUGAAUAAUGUCCAUAUAUAGUAUGAAGGGAUAAUGCUAUAUUCUUUCUCUUUUUUCUUCAUAAAACUUUUCUAAUAAAUAUUACUAUUCAUAUAAAAGUUACUCACAGAGUACGGUAAAUAUUAACAAACUUUUUUUUGUUACAACAUUAACAGUUGAUAUAAAAUUCUGACGCAAGUGGGGGAAGUGACGCAGAUUAUAUAUAUAUAUAUUCGUCUUUCGUGGUUGUAACUCGUAACCAGCAGGUAUAAACCACGUGGAACUUAGAGUCUUAGAGAUUAGAGAUGAAAGGUACGGCCUACUAAUGGAACAUUUUCCCUUCCUUUUCUGGAAAAAUAAAUUAAACAAAAAUUUUGUCGGGUUUCUCGGAUGACGUAAAAAAUCUAACCCCAAAAGAUUCACAAGCCCAUCGGACCAACCACGCGUCCUAGUCAAAAGUGACCAAUCACAACCAAACCCAACCCUGCUCCACUCGCACGCCCCUCACGUGCCUCCCUCUCCGGCGACCCUUCUCUCCCGCAGUGUGUCUCACGCGGCCCUUGUCGCGUGGAACCUUUUUCCGGGGUCGUGUUUAAAACAAGAAUUUUGAUGUUCUUUCAAUCUUUCCCUAAUAAAAAACGACCACGUAUUGCGCCUUCUCGAACCUACCCAACGGGCUAACAUCACUGAACGCUAAGCCCGAGGCAGUCCCACGUGUCCCUUUCCUUUCGGCCAGUGCUGACACCUGCUUCCCUCUGAUUGGUCUCUCGUGUGGGACCAUCUACUCAAUUACGCCCCUGAUAUGCUACUUUCACUGCGGACCCCACUCCCCAAGAAGCUGACCAAUAAGAAUGCGUAGUUGUAGCCCUAGCCAGGUGGGAAUUGUACAUGUUUGUUUCUUCACUGGGACUUCGCCCAUAAUUGGUAAAAUAAAUUGCGGAUCGAAAAUUCAAGUGAAUUGGAUAUGGAUGUAAGGAUGUUAGUUGAGGAGGCGUAGCCAAGCCAAGCCAAGCCAUCAAUGGAAGGAGGUGGAGAAGGGUGGCGCCGUAUGAUAAGCGGUGCGGAGGAUAAGUAUGUGUUGAAUCAGAUAAUGCUGAGAUUCCGGCCGAUUGCUCCGAAGCCAGUCACCGGAGGGCCAGGUUCGGGUGAGCCGCCGACGGGUUGGAGUAACGCGCUCGCUUCCAGGGGGAGAACCAAGAGAAAGUACGUUAGGGUUCGUAAGAAUGUUAGCGGCGAGGAGGAGAGUGGGAGAGAGAGGGUGGACACUAAACGAGUGGUGACACUGCAGCUGUUGCCGGAGAUCGAGAAGAGCGGCGAUUACAGCAGUGACCAAUCGACGGACGGCGGAUCUAGUUGUGAGUUUGAUUCUAGUAUCGGCACAAAUCAUCAGUGGUUGAGUCUUAGUAAGAUCGGAAGAGAGAAUUACAUGAGAGCGGAUUCGGCGGCGGAUCCGGCGGCGGUGAUGGACCAGAUGGGAGGAGUGGAGUCGUGGGUGACGGUAGAGUGCGUGACAGGCACAUGCAUGAAGGCUCCACCUCCUCAAGGGUUGGGAAUCAUCACUACGGACGAGGAGAGAAUGAGGAGUCUGGAGGUUGACGCGUGUCCGGGGUUCGUCUCCGACGGUUGGAACAGGGUUCGGUGGCUGAACGGAGCGUUCAGGAGGAUGGUGAUGAUGACGUGGCAGCAACAGUUGCCGGAGAUAGCCGUGUGGUUAGCGAUGAACGAGGAGCUGCCGUAUACCCACUCGGCGUUUACGUGCCAGGUGAAGCUGAGAUACACUGUGGGCAACAAGGAGAAGGAGAAGUACUACCACUCGCAAAUGGUGCCUUGUGAUUUGUGGAGAAUGGACGGAGGAGGAUUUGCAUGGAGGCUCGACGUUAAAGCUGCGCUCACUCUGGCCGUUGAUGCAGCUCCACUACAUAUCUAAGUGGUUGAAGACUGAGACAGGAAUUAUGGGUCGAGAUGAUAAGGUUAAUUUCAUUUGGACGGAAGAGGCGGCUUCUGAGGAUUUGAAGAAAUAACUGAACACUUGAUGAGUAAUGAUGGAUGGAGUUUAAGUGUAUAUAUGUAUGAAUGCAUGGUAAGUAUCAAUAUAUAUAUUGAAAAGUUUCUAAGGCAAGCAAGCAAUGAAACUGAUCAAGAUACAUAUUAGCUAGAAGUGGAGUGCUGAAGUAGUACCCAAGUUUCUGCUGGAGAUGUACUGAACAGAUUAAGCGCAUUGGCUGCAAGGGUGGACAUGUACGUAGACCCAGUUAACUAGGGUUUGAGAGUGGUGCUACUGUGUGUUGAACUUCAUUCCAGUGCGUGGUGAUCAAUUAACGCGAGGGAUCAGGAAUAUGCAAAGAUGAAGCAAUAUAUAACCCGGUAAUCGGCAAAAUUUUGAACACCAUGCAUGUACUAUUUCGAGUCUGGUAUGUAAUCAAGUACGUUCUUGGUUUUCUUAUGCAGUAUGAGCAUCUUGAUUAUUAAUUCAUUUGUUUGUCUCUCUAAGAUGUAAUUAAGAAGUAGUUUCUCUAAUUAAAUUGUCCUUUUAUACA